AGCUCUUAAUGACAUGACAACACAGCAGCAGUAGAGACUUUGUCUUGCCACCAAGGCAAUGAGCACCUAUCCAUCUGCUCCUCCUCUGCACACAUCGACUCUGGAAAUGAGCUGGUGAAGACAGACACCCUUGGAGUGCCCUAAGCUGCUGCUCUGGACAAUGCCAGAAGCCCAGCAUGCCCAUGCCACUUCAUUUCCCAGUGGAAUCCACAGACUGAAGACAAAUUGGGAAAAAAGGUGAAUUUCCACAUCUGCCCUCCCUCUCCAAAAGAUCUUCUUCCCUCACCAGCCUUCUGACAAGUCUUUGGGUAAAAUCCCUUGCCUGCCUUGCCAUCUGAGCUCAGCACUGACCCUGCCGAGAUCCAGGCAGGGAGAUGAGACUGAAAAGGAAAACGCUUUUGUUGAUUUUCCCCCCUUUAUCUCAAAACCAACAUGCACGCCCUGCAGGAGAGCAGUGAACCCAACACAUUCCCCAGCUACAGCCGUAUCAUUGGGAUCCUGUCUGGCCUCAGGGAUAUAAUUGUCCUAGAGACCUCUCGGGAAAACACCAGGCCCGAUUCCCGCAGCCGUGGACCAGCUGGAGUCACUGAGCACAGUGCUGUGAGGUCAAAAUGCUGCCACACUACAAUGCAGGGUAAUGUUGCCUUUGACUUUACACAAAGAAGGGGAAAAACCAACCACAACUCACUGGAAAAACUGAACUGGUAACUCAAUGGGCAGUGCUUGCUCAUGCUAAGGAGUGUUGGGCCAGGCUCUUGGCUGAAACAAGGCCAUGAACUUUUGGAGUCAGUAAUGAUCACUGGUUUCUUUUCACAAGAUUCAGGGUGUUAACCUCACUGCCAAAUUCCAGUUAGGUCCUUUCCUUCCCUCUCUCUAAACUCCCACUGUGAGGUACAUUAGUUCACUUUAUGUCUUAAAGUCUUGCCUGAUAUUGCUAUGUGCAGCUUUGUCUUGUUCCAUCCCAGAGGCAGCUGCAUCUUAGUAAUAAAUGGACUGAUCUCUAGACCUCUCA